CUUCCUUGCCAACUGUAGGACACAUCACAGAUGCCAUUGUGACCAUACUCCCUCAGCAUAUAGCUACGAGCACUCACACAGCAUUCCCCAUUUCCUUCACCUACUCUUUGGUUGGACUCCUUCAGUUCACACUUUUUACAGGAACUUAGCAAAGUUUUCCCCUAUUUCACUUCCUUAUUACUGCAAGCAGUAGACUAGAAAUAGCACUGUAAAACCAAAAUGGUUCUGGCUUAUGUGCAUCUGCUCUCUCCUGUGUGCACUGUCCGUGUGUACAGGUGCACAGUCAGUAAAGGCACAGCAAUAAUACAGUGUUCUUUUGCUGUAUUAAGCACAAAAGAAGCACUAACCAAGUUACCAGAGAAGAGAUUUACCUUGGGCUCAAUUUUUUUUUCCAUUAACUGCUGCCAGGAGAAAGAAGAUGGAAAUGUGGAAUUGAGAUUUAGAUCUUCAAGUUCCCAAUCUCCUUUAACUCACUGUUUUAAGAUCUGGCUGAACAAUUAAGACCAAGAAUUACAAUUUUUCUGCAAUAUGAUACAAUACUGAUUUCAUCAAAAGUGACCAUAAGCUAUUUCACAUAAAACUCCAUUGUUCAUCCUUCAUAAAAAAAGAUGAUGAGAAGCUAGGCAAGAAAUUGAGUCCAAAAGUCAGCUGACAACUGUGCAGGUAUCUCCAUCUCUGUCAGAGUCACUGCUGGUACUGUAAGUUAAGAAGUGCAGCACCUCACAGGCUGCUGGCAUACCCUAUCCUGAAUUCAAGUAACCAGAGCAAAAGCAUUUGGUCAGCCCCACACCAGACCUCAAUAGUCAUGUGAAGAAAUUUUUAGGGAGAGUUUUUAAUCAACCACUUCCCAAAUGACUUCUACAAAUUAUUGUUUUAUAGAGAGAAUUCAUUGCAACAGAAUUUAACAAACUGCUAAUCUGAAAGUUACCAGAGAUGAGUCAAAUGAAAGAAGCUUUCUUUUUACUCCUUUAAGUAAUUUCUUGUCUUGGCUUCAUUACCUGAAUAUCUUUUAAUCUUCCAUUAGUAAAUAACGGGAUUUACUGUAUAUUAAAAUGAGACAUCUGGGUCAUCCAAGAUGCUGCACAAACACUGGAAUUUACUCAAAUGUUCAGCAUCAGACUCCACAGAUUGAAGACAGCAGCAAUGUCUGGACAUUAUCCAACCCAACCCACUGCUUAAAGCAGAGUCAACUCCAGCCAGGCUGGUUUGGGUUUUUGAUGGGUCUACAACACCAACAUUC